rnacentral:rRNA from 1 species
UACGUAGGGGGCAAGCGUUGUCCGGAUUUAUUGGGCGUAAAGAGCGUGUAGGCGGCCAUACAGGUCAGCUGUGAAAACUCGAGGCUCAACCUCGAGACGUCGGUGGAAACCGUUUGGCUAGAGUCCGGAAGAGGAGAGUGGAAUUCCCGGUGUAGCGGUGAAAUGCGCAGAUAUCGGGAAGAACACCCGUGGCGAAGGCGGCUCUCUGGGACGGUACUGGCGCUGAGACGCGAAAGCGUGGGGAGCGAACAGG